GGCGGCUCUCAGGUGAUGCACCCUGGGAUUGGGCUCUCUCCUCUGUGGUUUCCGGUACGUCACCUGAGAACCACA
rfam:Myotis lucifugus cont2.42911, whole genome shotgun sequence.